UUUUGGCCACAGUGGAAUCCAGGAAACUCUCGUCCUCAAAGAUCAGGUAACCGUUUGGAAUCAUUUUAGCGCAAUUUGCUUUGUCUGCCUAAUAAGUCAAAUCUGGGGAAACGCUGCUCCAAGUGUCGAACGGGAGCUGAAGGUAGUCAAACAGGCAAGAGUGUCUGGGGAAACUCUAGUCUUCUUCACCCAAAGAGUGGGUGGGAUGGGGAAGUGGUGAGAAGAAAUGCUAGUGGACGACACAGGUGGCAGCAGAAGGGAGAGAGGCAGCAAACUAUCAGGCUUGAAGCGACUGUAAUCAAGUCCUCGUGAACCCGUUGGCUAUAGAGCUGUACUUAUUCUGUGUUUGUCGUACAUCAUAACCUGGAGGAGAGA